GUGCCGUUCUGGUCACCUCUGAACCACCAAGGCCUCCCAGACUCGGCCACGAGACCAAACUGUGUGAACAAAUGGUGCUGAUGGUCCAGGGGCCGGGACGGAAUCCCCCCAGACAGCCUGGCCAAAGGGUGCAGUCUCCUACUUCCCAGGACUGCUUGAGGGAGACAGGACAAGCAUCCCCGUUAUACAGAAGAAGAAACUGAAGUCAAGGGUGAAAUCGGGCAAGUUCCUGAACCUCGCUGAGCCUGUUUCCUGUCUGUCAGAUGGGGCGGCGCCAUCUGUCUGUUCGGGGAGUAAGCCCCACCAAGCAUGUAAAGCACCAACUAAUGCAGUGACCAGCCC
rnacentral:lncRNA from 1 species